UACGAAGGGGGCUAGCGUUGCUCGGAAUCACUGGGCGUAAAGCGCACGUAGGCGGAUUGCUAAGUCAGGGGUGAAAUCCUGGAGCUCAACUCCAGAACUGCCCUUUGAUACUGGCGACCUUGAGUCCGGGAGAGGUGAGUGGAACUGCGAGUGUAGAGGUGAAAUUCGUAGAUAUUCGCAAGAACACCAGUGGCGAAGGCGGCUCACUGGCCCGGUACUGACGCUGAGGUGCGAAAGCGUGGGGAGCAAACAGG
rnacentral:rRNA from 1 species